rnacentral:rRNA from 1 species
AUGAGUAUACUCAGCUAGAACUGUCGCGGGGCUGGCAAACCCGUGACAGUUUGUGAGCUUCGCAAUUUGGCGAAGCAGUAUGCCCCCUCAAUGUUAUGAAUUGCUGAAACAUAGUUAGAGGGUUCUCAAGUAGAAAGUUUGGCUAGUACUUUGAAUUAUGAUAAUAGUUUUGCUGUUAGUAGCUCCAGUAGAAGCGGAGGUCCUGGUAUUUUUUUGGAAUAA